rnacentral:rRNA from 1 species
UACGGGGGGGGCAAGCGUUGUUCGGAAUUAUUGGGCGUAAAGGGCUCGUAGGCGGCCAACUAAGUCGGAUGUGAAAUCCCCAGGCUCAACCUGGGAACUGCAUCCGAUACUGGAUGGCUUGAAUCCGGGAGAGGGAUGCAGAAUUCCAGGUGUAGCGGUGAAAUGCGUAGAUAUCUGGAGGAAUACCGGUGGCGAAGGCGGCAUCCUGGACCGGCAUUGACGCUGAGGAGCGAAAGCCAGGGGAGCAAACGGG